rnacentral:tRNA from 1 species
UGGCCUAUAGCUCAGUUGGUAGAGCAUACCCCUGAUAAGGGUAAGGUCACAGGUUCAAGUCCUGUUAGGCCAACCA